rnacentral:rRNA from 1 species
GACGAACGCUGGCGGCGUGCUUAACACAUGCAAGUCGAGCGGUAAGGCCCUUUCGGGGGUACACGAGCGGCGAACGGGUGAGUAACACGUGGGUGACCUGCCCUCAGCUCUGGGAUAAGCCUGGGAAACCGGGUCUAAUACUGGAUAUGACUCCAUGACGCAUGUUGUGGGGUGGAAAGCCUUGUGCGGCUGAGGAUGGGCCCGCGGCCUAUCAGCUUGUUGGUGGGGNGAUGGCCUACCAAGGCGACGACGGGUAGCCGGCCUGAGAGGGCGACCGGCCACACUGGGACUGAGACACGGCCCAGACUCCUACGGGAGGCAGCAGUGGGGAAUUGUUCGCAAUGGGCGCAAGCCUGACGACGCAACGCCGCGUGGAGGAUGAAGACC